rnacentral:rRNA from 1 species
AUUGAACGCUGGCGGCAGGCCUAACACAUGCAAGUCGAACGAGUGGCGGACGGGUGAGUAAUGUCUGGGAAACUGCCCGAUGGAGGGGGAUCACUACUGGAAACGGUAGCUAAUACCGCAUACCAUCGGAUGUGCCCAGAGUGGAUUAGCUAGUAGGUGGGGUAACGGCUCACCUAGGCGACGAUCCCUAGCUGGUCUGAGAGGAUGACCGGCCACACUGGAACGGAGACACGGUCCAGACUCCUACGGGAGGCAGCGUGGGGGAAUAUGGGCCAAGGGGCGCAAGCCUGAUGCAGCCAUGCCGCGUGUAGGAGGAAGGCCUUCGGGUUGGAAAGUACUUUCAGCGAGGAGGCGUUACUCGCAGAAUAAGCACCGGCUAACUCCGUGCCAGCAGCCGCGGUAAUAC